AGCCCUUUCUGACUUGGAGCUAGCGGGCACAAUAGCACAUUAUUGCCAGAGGAGCUAUGAGCUGAAAUUUCUGAAUGGACUUACCACUAGUCUCAGCUGGCAGCUUACUACACAUGCACAGGCAUGUAAAGUCUUCAAAUAUACUUUUUCUCCAGGAAGACAGACUUGCUGAAUGCUGAUUUCAUGGAAGUCACACAAGAGAGGC
rnacentral:lncRNA from 1 species